rnacentral:rRNA from 1 species
GACGAACGCUGGCGGCGUGCUUAACACAUGCAAGUCGAACGGUGAAGCGCCUUCCUUUUUGGUGGGUGUGGAUGAGUGGCGAACGGGUGAGUAACACGUGAGUAACCUGCCCCCUUCUUCUGGAUAACCGCAUGAAAGUGUGGCUAAUACGGGAUAUUCUGGGUCUGUCGCAUGAUGGGUCUGGGAAAGAUAUUGUUUCGGUGGGGGAUGGGCUCGCGGCCUAUCAGCUUGUUGGUGGGGUGAUGGCCUACCAAGGCGGUGACGGGUAGCCGGCGUGAGAGGGUGGACGGUCACACUGGGACUGAGACACGGCCCAGACUCCUACGGGAGGCAGCAGUGGGGAAUAUUGCACAAUGGGCGCAAGCCUGAUGCAGCGACGCCGCGUGAGGGAUGGAGGCCUUCGGGUUGUGAACCUCUUUCGCCAGUGAAGCAGGCCUGCCUCGUUUGUGGGUGGGUUGACGGUAGCUGGAGAAGAAGCGCCGGCUAACUACGUG